rnacentral:rRNA from 1 species
GACGAACGCUGGCGGCGUGCUUAACACAUGCAAGUCGAACGGAAAGGCCCCAGCUUGCUGGGGUACUCGAGUGGCGAACGGGUGAGUAACACGUGGGUGAUCUGCCCUGCACUCUGGGAUAAGCCUGGGAAACUGGGUCUAAUACCGGAUAGGACCGUGCCUUAGUGUGUGCGGUGGAAAGUUUUUCGGUGCAGGAUGAGCCCGCGGCCUAUCAGCUUGUUGGUGGGGUAAUGGCCUACCAAGGCGGCGACGGGUAGCCGGCCUGAGAGGGUGUACGGCCACAUUGGGACUGAGACACGGCCCAGACUCCUACGGGAGGCAGCAGUGGGGAAUAUUGCACAAUGGGCGCAAGCCUGAUGCAGCGACGCCGCGUGGGGGAUGACGGCCUUCGGGUUGUAAACCCCUUUCGGCAGGGACGAAGCUUUUGUGACGGUACCUGCAGAAGAAGCACCGGCUAACUACGUG